rnacentral:rRNA from 1 species
CGUUCCCGGGUCUUGUACACACCGCCCGUCACACCACGAAAGUUGGCAACACCCGAAGCCGGUGGGCUAACCCGUAAGGGAGGCAGCCGUCUAAGGUGGGGUUGAUGAUUGGGGUG